AAUAUGCAAUUUAAAUUCCAAUGUAAACAAAGGUUUAGCUGAUUGUAUUGUUCAGCAUAUCUUAGUUUUGCUAUACUUUAUGACAUUCUUGAGUGAGUUUUUUGUUAACUAUAUAUAUGUAUGUGUGUAUGUGCAUGCAUGUGUGUAUUUGUAGUUUUGACAAAGUGAAAAAUUAAUUUGAAAUGUCUGAAGUUGUUAUAUCUAUUUAUAAAAUAAAUGCAAAUACCAUGUCAUCCUUAAAAUUAAUAUAUGUAAAGCUCACAAGAUAUUGGGAAAUAUGAGCCAAUGCUUCAUCUGUUCCAAUUCAAAAGACUCCUUCUUCCAACCUCAAACUUCCAAACAAUAACAAUUACAACAAUAUGCAUGUAGCUAAAACAAUGCAAAUAUCACUUAUACAAGUACAAUUUUGCUUUUCUUUGUCUCCAAAUGUUGUUAACAAAAAUUUCAACAGUUAAUGCCAUCUUCUUCAAGGUCAAAUUCUCAUAUUGUUUUUAUUCCUCCUCUAGUUAUUGCUUUUGGAUAUUCUCUAAACUAUGAACUAAAAACUGUUAAAACUAGCCACUACCUACAUACCCUGCAUCUAAGAAGAAAGGAACAGAGAAAGGGAACAAAUAUAAACAAGUUAAAAUCACUUAAAUCAGAUCGUGACACUGAAAGGGUACAGAUAUGAGUAGAUACCACAGCUCAUGAGUUCACAAUCAAGUCUAUGUGCUAGUACAUUCUGAGGACCUACCUGUACUCUAGGCCUUCAGGACUGAUACAGUUUGGCUGUGUCCCCACCCAAAUCUCAUCUUGGAUUGUAGCUCCCAUAAUUCCCUCAGGUUGUGGGAGAAAGCAGUGGGAGAUAAUUGAAUCAUGGGGGCAGUUUCCCCCAUUCUGUUCUCAUGGUAGUAAAUAAGUCUCAUGAGAUUUGGUGGUUAUAUAAGGGAAACCCCGUCCAGUUGGAUCUCAUUCUUUCUUGCCUGUUGCCACCUAAGAUGUGCCUUUCACCUCCCUCCAUGAUUGUGAGGCCUCUUCAGCCACGUGGAACUGUGAGUCCAUUAAACCUCUUUUUCUUUGUAAAGUUCCCAGUCUUGGUUAUGUCUUUAUCAGCAGCGUGAGAACCAUUUAAUACAAGGACUUACCUUACAUUAGGAUAGAAUAGCUCCCAACAGUCACUAAGCCCUGUCUAUUAUGGACUUCACUUCACCUCCUAACAUUACAGAUAGUGUCAGCCUCCUUCAGUUCAAGGUCUGGGCUUUUGCCAGGCCCCACAUAGUCUAUCGGCCCCAGUGCCCAGGUUCAUUACAAAUAAAACCACUAAAUCUCUGACUUUUCCAAAGUUAGUAAGAGGGGCUGAUUAACACAAGCUGGAAGAGAGGGGCUCUUAUCUACCCAUUGGUUGAACUUUGACCAGUGAAAGAGAGUGUGAAGUAUCCAGUAGAUUCAUUGCAUCCCCUUCCUGCCUAUAACGGACCAUUCCUAGAGGUAAUGGUUUUAUAUGGUUUCUCUAAAAACUCCCUUGACCUAGAAAUCACUGGGUUCUUUUAAGAAACUCGGAAAGUAUAAAAUGCACUACUCUUUUUUUGCUUCUCCUUCUUUCUGAGUCAUUUCUUUUUUUUUCCUUUCACUAUUGCUUUCCUGGAAUUGAACACUCAUCCCUAAAACAUUACUAUAUAAACUGUGCCUUAAGCUAUACUUUCUAGAGAACCCGAAUUAAGACAUUAUUUUUCUGCUGUUGUCAGAAGGCUACUUCUGAUAUUUAUGCUUUCAUUCUCCAUUAAUCAUUUAAUAUUUUAUUUUCCUUCAUCAGCCAACACUGCAGGCAGUUGAGGCUUUUUCCAUGAUGAAGUAAAUCCAACUAUGAUUUCUGAAGAAUAGAAUUUAUUGGUGGUCCUACCUGUGUGAUGUUUCUGCAGUCUCUGAGGUUUCCGGAGUCUUCCAAUAAAUUUUACUCCUGUAUGUGUCAGACUAGGAGGCACCCAAGAUAAGACCUUGGGGUCUAAAUAUACUACAACCGUAUCCCCAGCAAACCUGUUUCUCCUUGAUAAUCAAGAUCGAUACCUUCUAUUUUGCAUCUUUGACCUGCAGUAUGAAGAACUUGAAAUGGACAAAUGGCAAUUUGAGACUCCAAUUCAGCGAGACCAUUGUAGGGUCUUCUGAUGGAGUAGCUUAUCCUUGUGUUCUAAAACUUCUCAUCAAGGCCCUAAUACAGGCUAGCAGGACCCAGAAAUGGAAGAAUGGAAACACCUUGUGAAGGUUUCAUUAGCCGUUCUAUCUUUUGCCAGAAGAAUUAGAUGCUACAUAAUUCAACUCGUGAGUCGGACUGAAACGCUACAACUCUUCUUUUCCU
rnacentral:lncRNA from 10 species